rnacentral:rRNA from 1 species
UACAGAGGUGGCAAGCGUUGUUCGGAAUUACUGGGCGUAAAGGGCGCGUAGGCGGCCUUCUAAGUCAGACGUGAAAUCCCUCAGCUUAACUGGGGAACUGCGUCUGAUACUGGCGAGCUUGAGUGCAGGAGAGGAACGCGGAAUUCCAGGUGUAGCGGUGAAAUGCGUAGAUAUCUGGAGGAACACCGGUGGCGAAGGCGGCGUUCUGGACUGCAACUGACACUGAUGAACGAAAGCCAGGGGAGCAAACGGG